rnacentral:siRNA from 1 species
GAGGAAUACCAAUCUUAGUUGU